GUGAGAUUCACCCACCCUAAAUUAUUUGCCAAAAUUUUUUCCUCAAAAGAUCGGCCUGGCUAUGUGAGACAGAGCUCCGCCAUCAACUCCCUUCCCAACGCGUUAGCACCGAUGACCCAUCAACUACAGAGCCAUCACUAUAGAGCUAGGUGGCAAUGAUCAAGUAAUUGGAACUCAUAUCCUUUACAUCAUUUGGGAAACAAAGCUAGAUUUCAUGGAAAGGAUGGCUUGGAUUGAUGUUGCAAGAACUUUAGACAUACUGCUUUGUACUCUGCAAUCGCUUAGGGAGCUGCUGAAAUUUUUUCCAGCAGCUCUUGUGACUUGAUUUUUAUGUUUCUUGGUUCUUUAGAAUGUUUAUUAACAUGUUGGGACCUUGAUUUGAUCAUCCCAAUCCCAAGAGACUGGUUGCAUGUUUAAAGUUCGAUUAAAUUGUUUGCACCAAGACAGUGUUGCUGCAAAAUUAUGCAGCAACAUGUGUUCAUAUUGAUUUUGUU